AACUUUUUCACGAUAUUCUAAUUAUAUGACCAGCACCUGUAUUAGUGUCCUAAAUCCCACUUCUUCUGCCUUUCACUGAAAUGUUAAAAUGUCACUAAAAGGUCUGUCCUUACCAUUACUUGGAGAAAGUUUCAUGUUUUAUUCUGUAAAAUGUAAUUACCUCAAGGUUGUGAAUUUACUGUAUGUGCUUGAUGAAUUGGACAGCCACAGCAACCUACAUUUUAAACUAUGCAAUGGUUUCUGAAUUCAUGUUCAAAUUAUGACUCUCUAAUGUAUGUUGUAGAACAAAACGUGACAAUCUCUUCAAGUAUUGUCACCACCACAGAUCUUAUUUUACUUGUAAAUUGAAAACCAAUAUCCUGCAUUUCAGAGAACUCAUAAUUCUGCCACCUCCUAUUUGAAAAUAACAUCAGGAGAAAAGACCUGCGUGAACAUUCAUGAACAAGCAUCUCUUUUUAUGUCCCUGGACUAAGGAAAACGACUUAAAGAAUUUUACUGCAAAGUAGCUGUGCGUGCAAGUCCAGUGAAGGAGGAUUGUUUCAAAGAAGAGUGAGUGAGUAGUAAAAACAUAGAGGCGAAUAACCAUUUAAAUUUCAGUUAUGAAAAAAUUGCAGCUGAUAUUGGCUUCAGUCUAAUGAAGUUAGCGGAGAGAAUACUACAUUGCCUCAAAUUGGUAUCUUAUGAGAGAUCAAAAGGAUAUUGCAGUCAGAGGGGAUUUAAUGAUCACAAUAGAGCAAUGGUGUUGGGCUUUGUCUUUUAGUCAUGGAAUCUUUCUUCAACAUUCUUGGCAAGAACAAACUUACCUUCUUGUGUUUUAGAUGGUUAAAUGUGUUUUUUCCCCACUCAAUUGGACACCACACAAGAAGAAAAAGUCACACUCUUUGGCCAAAAUUGGAACUGGCUUCAAUUAAUAGUAAUCAGGUGAUAUAUUUAACAAACCAUUCUGUUUGAAUCACUUGUCGGUUUUGCUUAAAUUAUUACUUGUUUGAGAAGGGAUAAAGACACACACGUGUACAACACCUGGAAUGUUCUGUUAGAAUUAAUGGAAGGUCAGAGAACAACAUGAUGUGUCAUUUAGUUAGGUGCUUUGACUGCAGCCGAUCGUGUAGGGAGAUGUCUUGGGGCAGCCAUAAAAAUUACAGAGAACUCAACUGACAGCUAUUAUGUGGACUGUCUGUCAUGCUGUCAAAUUAGCCAUUAAGUUAAUUAUAGCCCCACUCAAAGUCACAUUGUAUCGAGGAGCCAAAGUAUGUGUAACAAGACAGCUAGCACAAGGCAGCCAGUCAGU